rnacentral:tRNA from 1 species
GCCUAGAUGGCGGAAUCGGCAGACGCGCCGGACUCAAAAUCCGGUUCCCGCAAGGGAGUGAGGGUUCAACCCCCUCUCUAGGUA